ACGGUUAUGUUUUCCAACUCUGAAUCCAUUUUCUCUGAUGCCAGUAAUAGGAGAACAGCUGAAAACACGAUUAUUGAAGUUUGUCGCUCUAGUCGAGCAUUAAGCCAUAAGCAGUUGAUUUCGAUCCGCAUGUUCUAAUAUAUCUAUCUAUUCACUGUACUAUUUCUUUACCAGACUCGCAAGUCCACGAAAGAGUGUUUUUCUCUAAUAUAAAUUUAAUAUUCUACAUACAAUUUCGUUUUAUUAAGUAAAUUUACAGCAGUAAUAAAAUUGUUAAAACAUUCGUGUAUUCAAGAGCGUUAUGACUAGACGCUCUGAAUAUUUUAGGGUACUUUCACAUUUCGUAAACAACGACCGACGUUCAUAUCUUUUUACAACCUGUACUUCAGACAACAAAACAAGUCUGACAUAUUCAUAAAACUGAAAGUUCUUUGCACCCAAUUUCAUACCACGAU
rnacentral:misc_RNA from 1 species